AUAACAACUUUCAGCAGU
rnacentral:rRNA from 1 species